UACGGGGGGGACAAGCGUUGUUCGGAAUUACUGGGCGUAAAGGGUUUGUAGGUGGCUUGUUAAGUCAGACGUGAAAUCCCUCAGCUUAACUGGGGAACUGCGUCUGAUACUGGCGAGCUUGAGUGCAGGAGAGGAACGCGGAAUUCCAGGUGUAGCGGUGAAAUGCGUAGAUAUCUGGAGGAACACCGGUGGCGAAGGCGGCGUUCUGGACUGCAACUGACACUGAGAAACGAAAGCCAGGGUAGCAAACGGG
rnacentral:rRNA from 1 species